CGGGGGGAGCAAGCGUUGUUCGGAUUUACUGGGCGUAAAGGGCGCGUAGGCGGCCACCGCAAGUCGACUGUGAAAUCUCCGGGCUUAACCCGGAAAGGUCAGCCGAUACUGCGGGGCUAGAGUGCAGAAGGGGCAACUGGAAUUCUCGGUGUAGCGGUGGAAUGCGUAGAUAUCGAGAGGAACACCUGCGGCGAAGGCGGGUUGCUGGGCUGACACUGACGCUGAUGCGCGAAAGCUAGGGGAGCGAACGGGAUUAGAUACCCCGGUAGUCCUAGCCUUAAACGAUGAAUGCUUGGUGUCUGGGGUUUUAUAGUCCCCGGGUGCCGUCGCUAACGCUUUAAGCAUUCCGCCUGGGGAGUACGGUCGCAAGACUG
rnacentral:rRNA from 1 species